UUGAGAUAAAAAUGAACAAAGUAGUCCACUAUUUAUACUAGUGGCUUUGCUAAAUUAAGAGCCAACUAGUAUAGAAAAUCAAGGAAUAAAAUAUUAAAAAUCCCUACAUAAUCUCCCACUAAGUCAACAAAAAUUUCAACUAAUUAAUCUUGGAAAAAUUCUGCUUUGGCCCUCCUUCUUUGCUCCUUUCUUCAAUCUAGCCCAAUUGUUUCAUUUUUCUUCUAUUUAGCCCCAAAUUGCACCCCUGCACAAAAUUCAACAAAAACAUGGAAAAAUUAGUGGUGCACUCUCAUAAAUUAACCAAUUUAAUUACAUAAAAUAUGUAACUUUAGCAUUUAAUCAUGCACCGCCUUUACCCACAUCAAAGACCUCAUUUUAGAGUGGUACAACGUUGAAACUAGAUUCAUCGAUGUUAUGUUGAAAACUUUAUUGUUCCGAACUAACCACAUGGUCCACCAUGACGCCGAAAUCGCAAUCAACCAUAAAAUUUUUUGAAACCCUUUCAAAAAAAAUUCCUCUCGUAAAGAUUUUUUUAUCUGAAAUCCCAUUAGGUGCAUAAACAUUAAUCAAGGUUCCAUCCAAAUCUUCUUCAAUCCAUUUUACUUCCCCAACAACAAAAUGUUAGAACAAAGAUAACAACCUGCUUGAAACCGAACCUUGUCCCAUAUUGUUAUUACCUCUCCAAAAUUUCCUACAACAGCCGAAAAUCAAAAUUCAAAAUAUCGUCACUCUCUACCUUCCUAAUUAUGUCCUCAAUACCCAUUACUAGCUUUGAUUCUUCAAUGAAACACAAAUCCACUCUACCUUUACAAAUUACUCUUUUCACGCAAUUUUUUUGAUAUCCGAACACAUGCCCCUAAUGUCCCACAACAAAACCCCUAUUCUUCCCCCCCCAGAAAACCUCCCAUACACAGUAUAAAAUUACAACUACAAUCGAUACUAACCUGCACAAUGGCCUACAGACCCCUGCUCUUUCCUUUGUUGCUCUGAUCUACCUCUCUUUUAGUUUUAUAAUGUCAUCCACAACUUCUCACCUGUCACCUCAAACACAGAACCGAAGUUUUUUUCCACUUCCCAUGCGUUCCUAGCCUCCCUAAGAAUCACUCUCUUUCUAUUGUUGCUGUUAGAGUCGAAGAGAGAGGCGUUAACAACAACCUCCUCUUUGGAUGUGGUUUUUUUUCCUUUUUUCUUUCUCAACGUCCGAUCUCACUUCUUCUCUGCUACAGAAAUGAUUCUAUCUUGAAUUUCAUACAUCGAUCUAAUCUUUCGACCAGGGUUUUUUUGCUUCUUAUGUUUAAGAAAAAUUAGAGAUUCCCCCUCUGAAACCUUUUUUUCUCUGUUUGUUUCUCCCCUACCAAAACUCUAAAUCUUUUAAUAAGAAUACUACAAUCUGGUUCCCC
rnacentral:lncRNA from 1 species